AACCAUUUUUUUUUUCCAUUUCCCCCUCUCUAAAUCCCUAAAUCGCUAACAGUUCUCUUUGUCCUCCUUCUCUGGCGUCUCUCUCAACGAACCUUGCAGAAGGUGAACAUCUUUGUUUUGUACACUCUCUGCAGAACCUUUCUACGAGCGACGUUCUCACUUUCUCACUCUGUUUGUGCGAUCAAGGGACAUUGCUCGAUUUUGGUGUGGUCAAGGGCACCAUGCGUGAGAACGAAAUCCUCUGUCACAGUGUUAUCAAAUAGCGGCCAUGGUGGAAAAGCGUGGUGGAAAUUUGAAAAAAUGCCACCGAAUAGAGGUGGCAUGGCGGGUUGGGAUGGUGGUCAUGGCGGAAUA